CCACGUUUCAAAUGAUUUCUUUUCUUUUCUGCUCCUCAGAUGCAUCCGUCAAGUACUUAGGACCUACUUCGAGAGAAGACUUAAUUUCAGAAAGCACACGCAGCAAAUCAAGGUAAAAGCGAAUUUAGCGAAAAUACUAAUUCAAUCUUAUAUUUUCAGGUCCAGGUCCAGACUCCUAACGAAGGCCAAGAAAAUCCAGCUGUUCCAGGCCUACGUUAGGUCGGUGAUACUAUAUGCAGCCCCAGCAUGUUAAUUGACGGGUCGACAUGGGAUGAGAGGAGGUCAAAUUCAACCAUCAGAGAAAGACUCCAGUACACACCACUGAGGGAGUUGGUCGAGAACAUGACAAGGUACUUCUUUGACCAAGCCAAAAGUAAAUUCCUUAAGUUACCUCUUAAGUAACUCCUUAAAUUCAGAAACUGUAUACUGAAGAUGUACCGAAAAAACACAGACUGAUCGACCAUCUGCUCAAGGUCAAGCCAGGUGGUUCCUGAAGACAACCGGUCAGAGAAGUACAGUGGAACCCCGAUAAGUCGGCCCCCGAUAACCAGGGAGUCCGGCUAACCCGGACCGAUUUUCAUCAGACAAACAUUUCAACAAUAAAAAUGUAUGUAAUAUAAUAUUUGAGAGAUAAUGUGUAUUUGUGUAAUUUGAACUAUACGAUAGCAAAAAUGACUCAUGGCACACGGCGGCAGGCCGAUUACACAGGUUUACAAAAAAAAUAUUUUUUAAAAUUGUUUGGAAUUUGAUAACUGAUUUUUAUGUAUUUUUCAGCGCUGAUUGCAAAAAUGCAAUCCAUUUUUUUUCUAUCACGUAAGGUUUUCUCACAAAAAAGGAAUUACUUUUUGGUAUAAUAACAAAAUUUUAGCAAUUUUUCAAAUUUUUUCUUAAGUUAAAGGAUUUUAUUUCAUGUAUAAUACAUGUUAUAAACUACAUAUCUAGUACACUUACAUUUCUCUUUAAGCUCAUAAGUCCUUUUAGUAACGCUUUUGCUUUCCGUCGAAGCUUCUUUUAUUGCUUUUCCGGCUGUGUACUCGUUGAGGGUCAUCUCGUUUUAGCAUCCAGCAGUAGUCCGCUAUCAUGUUGACGUUCCAUCUUCCUUGAUACCUUCUUUCCAUUUCCUUGAUAUCUUGGUGGAAUCUUUCACCUUCUCUUCACUUACAUCACCAAGGUUUGCAGGGAAGUAGUCUAGAUGUGAAUGGAGGAAAUGAACUUUAAUGCUCAUGUUACAUCCCAGCUUCUUAAAGUUGUCGAGCAUGUCUGCGACGAUUGUCUUGUAGUUAGGAUCUUUUUUGUUUCCUAGGAAACCGGUAACAACUAGUUUAAAAGAUGACCAUGCUGCUUUUUCGUUUGUUUCCAUUUUGUCCAUAAAAUUGGGAUCUCUCAUCAGUUUUCUAAUGUCUGGUCCGACAAAGACUCCUUCCUUUAGUUUUGCCUCGGAUAAACCAGGAAACUGUCCACAGAGAUACUUGAAACACUCCCCUUCUUUUGGCAACACCUUUACAAAUUGUUUCAUUAACCCCAACUUAAUGUGGAGUGGUGGUAGUAAUACCUUUUUGGGAUCCACAAGGCUUUUCCUCUCAACAUUUUUAACCCCCACCUGUAAGGUUUUUCUCAAGGGCCAAACUUUUUUAAUGUAGUGUUGCUUUCUGUCUCUACUGUCCCAUUCACAGAGAAAGCAAGGGAACUUUGUAUAACCACUUUGUUGACCAAGCAGCAUUGAGAUCACUUUCAAAUUACCACAUAGUGUCCAUUUAUGGUCUGAAUAGCAGAGUUUGUUUAAAACCAGUUCGAGGUUUUCAUAACAUUCUUUCAAGUGAACAGAAUGUCCAACUGGCAUAGAAGCAGCAUACUUAUUGCCAUUGCGUAGAAGCACUGCUUUAAGGCUUCUUUUUGAAGAAUCUUUAAAAAGUCUCCACUCAUCAGGAGCAUAUUCUAUUUUGAAACGUGCCAUAAGUCCAGGAACAUCACUGCAAAACACCAAGUCACCUUCUUGAGAGAAAAAAGAUACAAACUCCUUUUCCCUGGAACGAUACCAAGAAAAGGACGUACCCGGAGCCAACAUAUUUUUAUCUUUUAAUCUAGACCCUAAAAGUUCUGCCGAGUCUUUAGGAACACCUAGGUCUCUAACUAAAUCAUUCAGUUCAGAUUGUGAGAAUGGAAUGGGAUCGGUUGUGCCAGGAUCGUAGCCAUCACUGUCUUCUUCACUUUCACCUAGCUGAGCCAAUGGCUCGUGGUCAUCUAAAAUACCAUCCAAAGAAACUGGAGGAGAGGGUAUUGGUACUUCAGGUCCAUGAGGAACAGGGCGAAUGGCUGAUUUGAUGUUAGGGUAAGAAAUAUCCUUUUUGUUUUUCAAAUUGAAACCUUGAACAUUGCAAGAACAAAAAUAGCAGUCAUCACUAUGGUUUUUGGGCUCCCUCCAAACCAUUGGUAUUCCAAAACGAAAUGACUGCUUUUUACCUUGAAACCAUUGUCUCAGUUCUUCAACACACACUGAACAAACUUUGUGUAGGGCCCAAGACUUGUCUUGAUCACCCAACUUUAUACCAAAAUACGCAAAAUAUACCUUUUCAACAAAAUCGGAAAUGUUUCUUUGUUGCUUUUUAACUGUAUAGUUACCACAAAUGUAGCAGAAGCAAUCUGGUGAGUUGAUACAUCUUCUGGUAGCCAUUUUUCAUAAAACAACUUCACACGCACAAGAAAACAAUCUGUUUAGGCUGAUGCCUUGAAUUAUGUUCUUUGUAGUUCGAUAAAAAAUCACUGAAAGUUAUUUGAUUCACACUUUAUUGCCAACUAUCCGUGUGUCACGAGAUAUCAUUUAAUACUACUCUCACAAUCACUACUUCAAAUCACUAGUAACCACAGCACGUGAACAGCACAGAGUGAAGAGAUACUGUGAACUGAAGAACAGGUAGCAGAAGCUCUUGGUGAUGGGGAGGGGGAUGGGCACUGUGGCAGACAGGCACUGACAUGAAAGAUGCUCAGUGAGUCAGUAAGUGGAUGGCGAGGGAGGGGAGGCAAUGGACCAGUACCGACAUGAAAAUAAUGCUGGUUUCUCCUAAUCAACUCUUUAUUUUACAUACAACUUGUAUAGUAAAAAAACAGCUAAGUAACUGAAAAUACCUUAAAGUAUUUUUUUAUACUUAUUAAAACUACUAUGGGCUUAAUAAACAGUUCAUAAAGAUCCAAAAAACAAAAAUUCAAACUCACUAGAGUACGGAACUAUGUAUAAAAAUAUCGAAAAAAAACUAAAAAUAGACAAGCAGUUUGUGGAAUAACUGUACGUGAUGGAAUUUUUUCACUAUUUUUCCCGAAAUUAGCGUUGAAAAUACUAUAAAAAUCACUUAUUCAAUUUUAAACAAUUUUUAUGUCGCAGACCUGUGUUAUCGGAAACAACAGGCACUUGUAUUCCUUUAUUUAUUUUAAACUGUCUUAGCAUUGUUUAAAAACGACUAAAAGACUAUAUAAAAAAUUCUUUUUUAAACAAUGGUCUUAGUCUCCCUGUUCUUAAAUAACAUAACAUUGUUUUGUGUGUCGUACAGUCGUAUUGUUCACAUCCGUUUUAUAAAAUCGUAGAAUUUUGUUUCAAAAUGAUAACAAAAGACAGUUUGGACAAUCGGUGCAAAGCUAAUAAAGCUAAAAAUGGGACUCUCGACGACGCUUUGUAUGUGUGGUUUUGUGCGGAACGCGAACGUCGUUUAUCAGUGUCUGGACCUAUUAUUCAAGAAUCAGCACUCAAGCUGAAUAAAAAGUUGCCUAAUUUCAUGUUAUUUCAAUUAUAACGGAGUUUAUCUGUAGGUAUACCGUAUUUUAUUAAUUUUUACCAUAUUCUCCUGCUAACCCGAAUUUUCGAUAACCCGGAUCAGCCGUGGUCCCGAUUAAUCCGAGUUAUCGAGGUUCCACUGUACCUACAAAAAAAGACCUCUAGGAGUCAAUGACUAAACAGGAGAUGAUGCAGAAGCUGAACAUUGGAAAGAAGAGAUAACCACCAUCGGUUUACGUGCGUUUCACCCUCUUCAGAUCUUCAGAAGGGCCUGUGAUUUGCUCUGAAUCAAAACGAAAACCAACUGUCUAAUAAUAAGCAAAAUUACACGAAAUAAUUUGCUUGUGGACGCAGUAGCAACAUAUACAGGGUGUCCCCGAAAAUAGUGCGUUCCUUUAAGAGAUGACCACCAUCCGUUAACGUACGUUUCUUCCUCUUGGAGUCGUCAGAACCAGUAGCGUACUGAUAGAUCCGAGGGCCCUGGUUCCAGUUGAGAUGCGGGCCCCCGCUCAAUAAAAGCACAUAUUGUAUAUCAAAAGUUUUUAAUACACA